UACGGAGGGAGCUAGCGUUGUUCGGAAUUACUGGGCGUAAAGGGUGCGUAGGCGGCCUAUUAAGUCAGGGGUGAAAGACGGUAGCUUAACUAUCGCAGUGCCUUUGAUACUGAUGGGCUUGAAUGUACUUGAGGUAGGCGGAAUGUGACAAGUAGCGGUGAAAUGCAUAGAUAUGUCACAGAACACCAAUUGCGAAGGCAGCUUACUAAAGUAUGAUUGACGCUGAGGCACGAAAGCGUGGGGAUCAAACAGG
rnacentral:rRNA from 1 species